GCUGGGUGUACUAAUCAAAGCCUGGGUCACGUGCAAUCUGAGUCAUUACAGGAAGAAGGGAUCAGGCUUAGAGAAAGAGGAACUGGACUGGGUUUUAACAGGAGGGGAAAAGUGAACAGUGAACGCAGAGGACAACAGCAUCUGAGAAGAUACCCCUGGGAGACACACACUGUGCUGCAAAAGAGAUCCAGAUGGAAGAACAGGAAGGAAAAUGGUCAGGAAGUUCAACGAGCCUGUCUAAGAUGCAGGUGCUUGCCCACAGUCGAUCCUAGGACCUCAAGCCUUAGGCCUCAGGCUUCUUUGGCUUGCCCCUCACUCAAUAGAGAAUGUGCAUCUUCAAGAUUCCUUGAGGUGGAGGGCUAUCCAUUCUUGACUUGCUGUUGGGGCUGUGGUAAGCUGGUUUGAGGUAAGUGCUGGGUUCAGUUUAUAUCAAUGCCCAGCUUGAUACCUUGAAGUUGACCAAAUCUGGGGCAACUGCAUCACAGAAAUUAGAAGAGACUAUUUCUUGUAUCCACCCUGAGAUUUAGUUCCCCGGAAGUACACUGGUUGGCAUAACUCGAAUGUGGCUGCAUGGUAUGUAAUAUCAGGGGAUGGAAACCUGGGCAGAGAAUUUUCCCGGAGAUUCUGAGGCUGCCAUCUCUUUUUGGUUCAUAGAAUAAGUCAUUUCUUUUGCUCACAGUUUUGCAGGCUGGGAAGUAAAAGAGCACGGUGCCAGCAUCUCAUUAGGCUGGGAUGCCCGGUCAGAACAGCGGAUUUGUCACACAGUGAGAAAGAAUUGGACAAAAGUCUUAAUCGUGAUGGCACAUGGCCAGUACAACACUUGCUUUGUGCUGAUAAUUUGCUCAACUCGGCCACAGAAUAUACCAGCAAUCUGCUCUCUCAUGACCUUCCCUGAAAGAAUCCCCAGGGAUGAUGUGUUCCAAGGAUAAAAAUUAGUAAUGUGGGUGCUCACAAGAUUGCCCAGGGUCAACAUGCGUCUAUGCCCCUGCAGCAUUUGAAGGCUUCCCAAACUGCGAGGUAUUCACCACAAACCUGGCCAAUGUUGUUCCCGGCUGGCAUUCUUGGGCAGUGGAACUCAAAGAAACAUGCAAAGAAACCAAAUAUUUGGCACAACUGGGAACCAGCAGAUAAUUGAGGCAAAGUCCAAUUAAGAUGCCUGAAAGGAAAAUCACAUACCUGGGGCCAUGAGACCUGGCAAGAAAUACCCCAGAUGUGCCCAGGAGGAAAAUCUAGACCUCUGGUGGAAGCCACAAAGCCCGGCUGCAAAACAUUACUCUGAUGUUGAUAGACUUUAAAAAUAUAUAUCAAGUGGCCUAAUUAGAGGGAACUGUGAUACUCAAAUUCAGUAUCAAGCUGUCGAGGAAUCUUUCAUAUUUGGCACAACUGCUGAGGCUGCAAAGCCACACAGAAGGUCUCAGGCGGAGCCUUUGUGUUCCCAAUCUUCCCUUUGACGAAGCCUGUUACAGUUCAGGAAGGUUUUUAGCUGACUGUAUUUACUCAUAGUACCAGGUGUCAGAGUCAGUCCUUUCCAAAUUUAAAUUUUAUUUAAUGUAACUUAUUAUUUAUAUUAUUUUAUGAAUUAUAUGGCUUGUGUUGAAGGUAGGGAGGGGAAACCAGCCUUUCCAAAUAAAUAUUCAAGGGUAAUUUAGUCAAAGAAUGUCGCUUGAUAUGUGAUUCUAGGUUUUCACUGUUUGUUGUUUUCAGGUAAGUUUAACUCAGCAAACACUUAUAAAACUAUUGACUGUGGGGAGUUCAAUGUGAGCUGCUGUUAACGGCUGCUAAUGACCUGGAAGUAAUUCAGCUUGACCUGGUCCAACACUCAUUUAUUAUAAAAUCUCUCAGAAAAGUAUGACUGGGAGAGAACUUUCUCCACAUGAUAACUAGCAUUCUGUUUUUAAAAACAAGCAGCUAGCAAGAUAGCAUCUCGUAAAGAUGAUCAUUUUGAAGCUUUAUGUGUCAGGAGUUGAAAGACUUUUAAAUCUUUUCUCAUCAAUUCCUAUCCAAAAAGGCAAAGAGGAUGGACAUCAGAAGAAGGAGAAAAGAUGGAACAAGUCAGGAGACUGACACAGAGGACCUCUGAAAGGCUCUGCCAUGCAGACUAUCAAUGCAGAUGCUGAGACUUACGGACAAUUUUUGGGCAGAGUGCAGGGAAUCUUAUGAAAGAAGUGAGGAACAGUAAGAUCUGGAGAGGACAGGAACUCCCCAAGGAGAGCAACAGAACCAAAAAAUCUGAGCACAGGCGUCUUUCCUGAGAUUGAAACUCCAAACAAGGACUAUGCAUGGAGAUAACCUAAGACCCCUGCACAGAUGUAGCCUAUGGCAGUUCAGUAUCCAAGUGGGUUCCAUUGUAAUAGGAACAGGGACUGUCUCUGACAUGAACUGAUUGGCCUGCUCUUUAAUUACCUCCCCCUGAGUGGGAAGCAGCAUUACCAGGCCACAGAAGAAGACAAUGCAGCCACUCCUGAUGAGACCUAAUUGACUAGGGUCAGAGGGAAGGAAAAGAAGACCUCCCCUAUCAGUGGACUUGGGGAGGGGCAUGCAU